UACGUAGGGGGCGAGCGUUGUCCGGGAUUCAUUGGGCGUAAAGAGCUCGUAGGCGGGCUUGGUAAGUCGGGUGUGAAACCUCCAGCUCAACCUGGAGACGCCACUCGAUACUGCCAUGGCUAGAGUCCGGUAGGGGCCACGGAAUUCCUGGUGUAGCGGUGAAAUGCGCAGAUAUCAGGAGGAACACCGGUGGCGAAGGCGGGGGUCCUGGGCCAGUACUGACGCUGAGGAGCGAAAAGCGUGGGGAGCAAACAGG
rnacentral:rRNA from 1 species